GAUGAACGCUGACAGCAUGCUUAACACAUCAGCAAUUGAUUGGUGGCGGACGGGUGAGUAACGCGUAAAGAACUUGCCUCCCUGGUAGGGACAACAUUUGUAAACGAAUGCUAAUACCUAAUGCUGUGAGAGAGCUUUGCGUCCCAUUAGCUAGUUGGAGGGGUAACGGCUCACCAAGGCGAUGAUGGGUAGCCGGCCUGAGAGGGUGAUCGGCCAAGAGGGGCUGGGGACACGGCCCGUACUCCGACGGGAGGCAGCAGGGGGGAAGAUUGAACAAGGGACCAAAGUCAGAUAGAGCAAUUCUGUGUGCGCGAUGAAGUUUUCGGAAUGUAAAGUGCUUUAAGUUGGGAAACGGUACCAACAUAAGAAGUGACGGCUAAAUACGUGCCAGCCGCCGCGGUAAUAC
rnacentral:rRNA from 1 species